GGCCCCAUCGUCUAUCGGUUAGGACACCAGGUUUUCAUCCUGGGAAGCGCGGUUCGACUCCGCGUGGGGUCACAA
rnacentral:tRNA from 4 species